UCUAUACUAUUAAUUGGGAAUCAUUAAAACAUAAGUAACCCUAUUUUGGUAGAAUAUUUACAAAUACCAUUGAAAAUUUGAAUAUAAAGAAACAAAAAAAAUUCACGUGGAAGGGUAGAAAAUUUUUUCCCAUUUUAAGAAACACGCGGAUCUUGGAUCUUCAAUCGGAUCUUCUAAUAUUACAAACAAAACAACACGCGGAUCUAUAUUUGCUGAGUUGGAUGAUCCGAAUAACAGUCCCUCUCAAUAUUAAUGGGUUGGAUGACAUUUUAGAUGGGCUUCAUAUUUGACAAAUGGGCUUCGCCGACUAUCACAACCUCACAAUUAAUUCCAAUAUUGUUUGAGAUACUCUGGAUAUUAAUGACACAUAAACAAAAUGGUUAGUUAUCAUUCAAAAAGAUUUCCAUAACAAACAAAAUCAUUCAAUAUCCAUAACUACAUAAAUUUCAACAGAUUUCCAUAACAAACAAAUCCUCGACAAUCUUUUUAGCCCAAUUUAUCAUAAUCACGAUUUCCCAAUUUAUAUCUAAACAAAUUAUUUAUCUUAACAAAAAAAUUCAAUUACCAAACUCUAUUAAAAACUAGAUAUUGAUAUAUGUUUAAAUCGAGAAUAUACCCUAAAAUUCGAGCAUCUACCUUAUACGUUUGUUGAUUUAAUUCUCUAAACCCUAAAAUCUUCUUACCUCUCUCAACUCAUAUAAAUAGACGCCUAAUGUGAAAGUUCAGAAACACGCUAACCUUUCAUAAAAGCAUUCUUCACUUUUUACUAUUUCGUAACCAUGGCUCAAAAUCACGGUAUCACCACCCUUGCUGAUGUGAGACCUUUCAAGACGAAUUGGAAGAUCCAAGUGAAAAUUCCUAGACACAAUACAUGCAAUUCACUGGUGAAACAACAGAAAUGAUCCUUGCAGAUCAGGCUGUAAGUAUAGAUUAUGUGCUUCAUUAUAUCUUAAGAUUCUUUACUAAUUACAACUAGGAUCGGACCCGCGGUCCACCGCGG
rnacentral:lncRNA from 1 species